GUGGGGAAUUUUGGACAAUGGGGGCAACCCUGAUCCAGCCAUGCCGCGUGAGUGAAGAAGGCCUUCGGGUUGUAAAGCUCUUUCGGACGGAACGAAAUCGUCUGGGUGAAUAUCCUGGAUGGAUGACGGUACCGUAAGAAGAAGCACCGGCUAACUACGUGCCAGCAGCCGCGGUAAUACGUAGGGUGCGAGCGUUAAUCGGAAUUACUGGGCGUAAAGCGUGCGCAGGCGGUUACCUAAGCCAGGCGUGAAAUCCCCGGGCUCAACCUGGGAAUUGCGCUUGGGACUGGGUGGCUAGAGUGCGGCAGAGGGAGGUGGAAUUCCACGUGUAGCAGUGAAAUGCGUAGAUAUGUGGAGGAACACCGAUGGCGAAGGCAGCCUCCUGGGCCAGCACUGACGCUCAUGCACGAAAGCGUGGGGAGCAAACAGGAUUAGAAACCCCUGUAGUCC
rnacentral:rRNA from 1 species